CGGAACGUGAAAGCGAAACAAGCGAAGAAGCAAAACGACAGUUCACGAGCGACAAGUGUAGGCGGCAAGAUUCACGCUGACGACAAAAAAAACUUUAUGAACUUCAACUUCGGGGUUUACUUUUAGAUUUGACAUGAUUGUGCAGUAAUUGUAGUAGUAAUUAUAGUAUUUGGUUAAUGUUCAUGAAGAAGCUGAUAUAUACUCGCAAGGAGGUGAAAAAAGAGGGAAAUACAAGGAGGUUAGCGAGUGUAUGUACCGGCUGGCUACGUUGUGCUGGGGAUAGGGUUAAAGGGAAUAAAGGGUGAUAGAAGGAAAAACACUAAAUGCUCUUCGCAGAAAACUACGACUGAACCGCUUUGCGACAGCAAGUUCAGGUCGCACUUGCACACGGCGCCGCUGACGUACGCACUCUUGUUCAUCAGUCGCCACUGCAGGUGCGCGUUGACGAACUUGCGCUUGCAAGGCGCAGGUACAACGCGCCUAAAUUAAGCCCCUGUGUUUGCUGCAGCGUGGUAUUGUGGCGCCAUCUAGCUUGGCCCGACAGAUUGGCCCGAACCAGUACAAGCACAGAGUAUAACUUGAAUAAGCAGCUUUUACUUUGGCCCCCUCCAUUUGCUUGUAAAUGGGCCCAAUAAAAUAAAAUGAAAUGAACUGAAAUGGAAUGGACAGUAAAAGUUUGCUUGAUUAGACGUCUCGGAGGCUCACAUGACACACGAGAGGCUUCGCGCACAAGAGCCUUCACGAAGCAACGUAAACACCACGGCCACUAUAGAAACUGUUGGUAUCGAACGGCUGUGUAACUUCCCAUCGCAAAUAAAAGACGUGGAUAAGCCUCAACGAGCAGCCGCCGCUGCAGGUAUAGUCCACGUGCGCCAGGAAACGUUUGAAUGGCCACGGCACGGGCUCGCUGGCCAACGCGACCAAGGGCAACAAGCCAGACACGAAGCUUAUAAAAAGCGAAACUAAAAUCAAGUUCGCCACGGCUUCGCGGCGGCCGCUUUCUCGCUUUCGCCAUGCGGUUCUCCAUCUCCUCCUCCUCUCUCGGCGUCUUUUUGUUUUUCCCGGUUGACCCAGACCGUUCUGUCGACGGCGCCGCGGCGGCGUGGCUUUGUUUUUUUCUUCGAAGCCGAUGGGGCUCGUAAAAAAAGGCAGCCGAAGCGUGCGCGUACACGUGAAAGCUCGUCGUCCGCUUUGCGGAGAAGGACGGCCGAUUGCGCGCCCCGCUUUGCGUUGCGUUCCCUGGCGCCUUUCUUUGCACGGCGGUUUGCAGACGGCGAUGAGUCAAGCGCAAAACAGGCUGCCGCAUUCCGCGUCAGUCUCGCAUCAGGUUUCCGCGAUCGCCGUCUAAGCGGCUUCGUGAAAGGCACGCCCGCGUGUGAAUCGCGAUCCUAAGCGAGGGAUGGGGCGCGAUGUUUACUCCGCGGUGUGAUUAUACCCUCGACGAAAAGAGAAGGCGUACUAUUUGCGCUACCGUGUGAUGAGAUGGGCAAGGUGUAUAACCGACAGCUUUUCGAAAGUUUGUACACCUUGCCGGAAAGCUCCCUUUCCUUAAGCGAUAAGUCACGUGUGUAAAGCCGAACGAUUCGCCGUUCGACCAGUCGUGCCAGGAAAUGCAUCGAACGUUUUUUUUUUUUUCAACAACUUUCCAGCGGGUUUCAAAAGGUGCCAAAGUCCGAGCAGCCGUCUCUCCGACGCAUCGAACGGUCUUGGCGUGCGCGUCCUUAUCCACUUUAAAGCGAGAAAAACGUGGUACGAUUCCGCUUGCGAUUCGACGUAGGUGGUGACGGUGGAUGUGAUGUCGUUGCUACAGGUGGGAUUAGACGUAGUCAUACCGAAAACCGCAUAAAACAAGUGUAACGCAGAUCGGAGUAGCCCUUUUUUCGGCGCAUCGCAUAGUACGCCGCUUCGUGCCAGAUGUAUCUUACUUUGCAUGUCUUGUGCGUAUUAUGUGUCCUAUAUAAACCUAUGUCCUAUGUUUUCUGUGUGCUGUGCGAAUGUCGGGGUAAGCGUGCCUCACAACCGCCUACUCUCGUCCAACUGCGAUCGGUCCAUUUUUUACAAUCGCGGAAUUGCUUCCGACGUACCUGAUACUUGUCUUUAUACUUCGGAUGGCAUUCAGACUCUCCUCCGCGCUACCUUACAUAAAUUCAAGUUGUUCCGCCAUAUCAUCGAUACGUGCCAUUUGUCUCAUCAAUAGACUGCCGCUGGGAAACGCGAUCGCCAUCAGGCGUUCCGCAUAAGGCGCUGCUCCAAGCCCGAUGAAGAACUCGCGGCCCGGACGGGACGAAGAAACUCCCGCGCCUGGACCAGUGAUCCCGGGCUUGGACCAGUGGACCAACCUCCUUCCGGGAGGCACCCUACCUGCGGGCGUGACAGUGCCGGACUUUGGAGCGGCCGCUUCGGCAGUCGCCGGCAUCGUGACGAUGCCGCCCAACUUGCCCACAGCGUUCCCUACCGGAAUGCCCACCGCCCUCCCCCCUGGAUUUCCGACCGGAGUACCGAACAUCAACGACAUUGUCAACUCGCUCCCUGGCAUGAACCCGUGACAGGACCGUAGUUGGAAGCUCCGGGAAAUGGGAUUUACGCGUGGUUCGAUUUGAAUAAAAAACAAAGACAAAAGUUUGUUUCU